rnacentral:rRNA from 1 species
AAUCAACGCUGGCGGCGUGCCUAACACAUGCAAGUCGAACGAGAAAGUGACUUCGGUCACUGGACAGUGGCGUCCGGGUGAGUAACACGUGGGUAAUCUACCUUCGGGUGGGGAAUAACGUCUCGAAAGAGACGCUAAUACCGCAUAAUGCAGCGGCACCUUAUGGUGAAUAGUUGUUAAAGCGGGGGAUCGCAAGACCUCGCGCCUGAAGAGGAGCCUGCGGCAGAUAGCUUGUUGGUGAGGUAAUGGCUCACCAAGGCUGCGAUCUGUAGCUGGUCUGAGAGGACGGCCAGCCACACUGGCACUGACACACGGGCCAGACUCCUACGGGAGGCAGCAGUGGGGAAUUUUGGGCAAUGGGCGCAAGCCUGACCCAGCAACGCCGCGUGAGGGAGGAAAUCCUUCGGGAUGUAAACCUCAUAAGUAAGGGAAGAGCGCGGAAGAUUGAAUACAUCUUCCGCUCGACGGUAC